AGAUCUUGCUGUAUCUGGUUCUGUUCUUGAAAAGACAUGACAAAGCUCCAGCACAGAUGACAGUGAAACUACCACACCUAUUGUCAAAACAAUCCCAGGAUUGCCUUUCAAGGAAAAUCCAGCAGUUCACACAGACAGGCUUCAGCAGUGCUUAAAUUCUGAUCCUUUGAACACACAUAGAACUGAAAAUGAGC